rnacentral:rRNA from 1 species
AUUGAACGCUGGCGGCAUGCCUAACACAUGCAAGUCGAACGGCAGCAUGAAAUGGGGUAACCCAUUUUGAUGGCGAGUGGCGGACGGGUGAGUAAUAUGUAGGAAUCUACCUAGAGGUGCGGGAUAACUUAGGGAAACUUACGCUAAUACCACAUAAUCCCCAAGGGGGAAAGCAGGGGACAGCAAGGACUUGCGCCUUGUGAGGAGCGUACAUCGGAUUGGCUUGUUGGUGGGGUAAAGGCCUACCAAGGCGACGAUCCGUAGCUGGUCUGAGAGGAUGAUCAGCCACACUGGGACUGAGACACGGCCCAGACUCCUACGGGAGGCAGCAGUGGGGAAUAUUGGACAAUGGGCGCAAGCCUGAUCCGGCAAUGCCGCGUGUGUGAAGAAGGCCUUAGGGUUGUAAAGCACUUUCAGUGGGGAGGAAGUUAAGUUUGUUAAUACCAGAUUUAAUUGACGUUACCCACAGAAGAAGCACCGGCUAACUCUGUGCCAGCAGCCGCAGUAA